AAAACAGUUAAUAAUAUUUUGUUGUUAUUCAAAUAUUACAUAUACAAAUGUAGAUGUAAGAACAUAUUCCCCACAAAAUAUGGUGGGGUAGAAUAUUUAAAAUAUUGGAUUAAUAUAGAAAAAUACUCUGUAUGUUUCUUAACCCCUGUACAAAUAGUAAAAAUUGAUCAGAAAUGGCGUUUGUUAGAAGCAGCUUUUAUUUAAUUUAUUUGUUUAAUUACCAAA
rnacentral:lncRNA from 1 species